UGGCUCAAGUCCUCACCUUGAUUGGAAGAGAAAAAAAAAGAAAUCACACAGCACCAGAAGUAGUCCUUGUCAGGGUCUGUGUGAGAUCGGAAGUGAGUGGUGCCAUGGUCAACCGGGAAGCACUACCUACAAGUAUCAGGGGCUGGAGAGAUGGCUCAGCUGUUCAGAACCCUUUGCACUCUCACAACUGACUCUGACUCUGGGAGAUCUGACUUCUUCUGGCCUUUGCAGGCUCACCAAAGCGAGGACCAUGUGGGACACCAUCACUGGCCUGUGCUUAGCACCCAAGGGGAUGCUGAAAGUAUAUCUGUCAGGGGGAUGAAGGGCAGCCUGGGUGCCUGAGUUCAUAUGUGCAAAACCAAAGUUCCAAUGAGUUCACGAGAAACCAUGAAGUAACACACAGCUCGUGUCGCCAAAGAUGAGCUUUCCCAGAAUUAAAGUUUGCCUGAUUCUUUCAUUCCCCGAGAAGACCAGCAACCAGCUCUUCUCUCAUUU